GGUUGGUCCGAGUGCAGUGGUGUUUACAACUAAUUGAUCACAACCAGUUACAGAUUCCUUUGUUCCUUCUCCACUCCCACUGCUUCACUUGAUCAAUAAAA
rnacentral:Y_RNA from 1 species